CAAACAUAAACAUAAUCUACAUGCACCCAUGCAUUGCUCUAUAUAUACAGACAUAACAUUCCUUCAAACCUAAUGUGACAACAGAAAAGUAUCUCCCCAGCAAGUCUGGCUGUUCUUGAUGAUGGCUGCAUCGGCGAAGGUGCAGGGAAGGCAUGUGGGCGUGGCGUCGGUUCCCGCAUGCUGCACCUACCACGUCGAGUGCUGCCAAUGUCUGACGGCGGAAGCCCCGCUCGCCACCGCCACUCUUCCUUGACGGCCACACCUGUGGCAUGUGAGUUCACUCUCCCCUUUGUCCCGACGAUUAGCGGAAUCAGCGUGAGCGCUCAUUCCACUGGUUCUGCAUGCGUCUAUGUGAGUCUGCUGCUUUUCAUGCCUCUAUAUACUAGUAGUAGUAAUCAAGCAUGUGCGCAUGCACGUGAUAAUAGUGGAUGAGAGUAUAACUGUACCCGUGAUAAGGAAGUAUAUGUAUUAUUCGAUACAAUGUGCUUGCACAGAUUUAUCUUCAAUUGCUACAAGCACAAAAUCACAAAUACUAACAUAAACACCAGUGAA